rnacentral:rRNA from 1 species
UACGGAGGGUGCGAGCGUUGUCCGGAAUCACUGGGCGUAAAGGGCGCGUAGGUGGCGGCCCAAGUCAACGGUGAAAGCUCGGCGCUCAACGCCGAGUCGGCCGUCGAUACUGGGCUGCUCGAGCACUGUAGAGGCAGAUGGAAUUCCGGGUGUAGCGGUGGAAUGCGUAGAGAUCCGGAAGAACACCGGUGGCGAAGGCGGUCUGCUGGGCGAGUUGCUGGACACUGAGGCGCGACAGCGUGGGGAG